AGUCGCCAGGCACCGGCCACGGCGCACGCCAACAUCCAGGAUAAUUCUCCUUUCCAAGCCCGGGAGUUCCGGGGCAGGCGAAAAAGGGGGGAUGGGAGACCCACAGUCCCUUUAACCCUCCCCCCUGGCCUGCCAACCUUUUCCGAACCCCCAUGUCACACAACUUCCUCAUCAUGGAAACUUCCACUGGGUUCGGCGCUGAGGAUGCCAAACUCCAUUUCACAAGGAACAUGUCAACAGCUGGGCUUGGGGUUUGAGGAACAGAGCCGCUGCGAUUGGAACAGAGCCCGGCCACCCUGUUCCACCACUGUCCACUCCGUAGCUCCCAGCCUGCCGCCGCGCGGUGCCCGAACACGAGAGGGCACCUCCUCCCAGAUCCGGGGCGCAGAAGCCCCGCGGAGGCAGGUAGAAGAUUCUGAGGCCCUGGGCGGGAACUAGUAAGCCACAAUCUGGAAGAGUCUUUUACCACCAUGUGGAGGAGAACUAGAGCACUCAUGUUGAACUAUUACCGAGAAAAGUAAUCAACUUCUUUUGUGUUAAGUCACUGAAAGGCAAGUGUUGAUUUGUUGCAGUAAUUGGUGCUCCCUUAACACACCUGUCAGCCGGGCCAAACUCUAUCACAGCAUAAAUAAUCUUUUCCUUAAAUAAAUACAGGUAAAAGAAUAAAGUAGACCUAAAUGCAUUAAUAUGAAUAUAGGCUCAAAGCAAAAUGUUGGGCUAUAAAUGUUCAGAGUGAUAAUUUUUUAAGUUGAUGUGUAAUUUAGUACAGUAAAAUAGAUAAAACCUAAAUGUUCAGUUCAAUGAAUUUUUACAUGUUCAUGCCCCUGUAUAAUCACCUCCCAGAACAACAUAGAAAAUACUUCAUAUAAAUGGAAUCAUACAGUGUGUUUUCUCUUGUGUCUGGUUUCUUUCACUCAAUGUUUUUGAGGUGAAUCCACAUUAUUGUGUGGAUUAGAAAGUUGUUCUCUUAAAAUUUCUGUUUGACAUUACGUUAUAUGAAUAUGCCACAAUUUGUUUAUUCAUUCUCCAAUUGAUGGACAUUUGGGUUGUUUCCAAUUUGGGACUAUGACAAAUGAAGCAGCUAUGAACAUUCUUGAACAAUUAUUUUUGUGGUACACGCACUCAUAUCUCCUGGGCAUAUGCAUAGGAGUGAAAUUGAUGGUCAUAUAUUUAUCUGAGUUAUUCUAUUAAAGCUCAAAAUGAUCAAUAUUCAAAA
rnacentral:lncRNA from 1 species